UUGAACGCUGGCGGCAGGCCUAACACAUGCAAGUCGAGCGGUAGCACAGAGAGCUUGCUCUCGGGUGACGAGCGGCGGACGGGUGAGUAAUGUCUGGGAAACUGCCUGAUGGAGGGGGAUAACUACUGGAAACGGUAGCUAAUACCGCAUAAUGUCGCAAGACCAAAGUGGGGGACCUUCGGGCCUCAUGCCAUCAGAUGUGCCCAGAUGGGAUUAGCUAGUAGGUGGGGUAACGGCUCACCUAGGCGACGAUCCCUAGCUGGUCUGAGAGGAUGACCAGCCACACUGGAACUGAGACACGGUCCAGACUCCUACGGGAGGCAGCAGUGGGGAAUAUUGCACAAUGGGCGCAAGCCUGAUGCAGCCAUGCCGCGUGUGUGAAGAAGGCCUUCGGGUUGUAAAGCACUUUCAGCGGGGAGGAAGGCGGUGAGGUUAAUAACCUUGGCGAUUGACGUUACCCGCAGAAGAAGCACCGGCUAACUCCGUGCCAGCAGCCGCGGUAAUACGGAGGGUGCAAGCGUUAAUCGGAAUUACUGGGCGUAAAGCGCACGCAGGCGGUCUGUCAAGUCGGAUGUGAAAUCCCCGGGCUCAACCUGGGAACUGCAUUCGAAACUGGCAGGCUAGAGUCUUGUAGAGGGGGGUAGAAUUCCAGGUGUAGCGGUGAAAUGCGUAGAGAUCUGGAGGAAUACCGGUGGCGAAGGCGGCCCCCUGGACAAAGACUGACGCUCAGGUGCGAAAGCGUGGGGAGCAAACAGGAUUAGAUACCCUGGUAGUCCACGCCGUAAACGAUGUCGAUUUGGAGGUUGUGCCCUUGAGGCGUGGCUUCCGGAGCUAACGCGUUAAAUCGACCGCCUGGGGAGUACGGCCGCAAGGUUAAAACUCAAAUGAAUUGACGGGGGCCCGCACAAGCGGUGGAGCAUGUGGUUUAAUUCGAUGCAACGCGAAGAACCUUACCUGGUCUUGACAUCCACAGAACUUUCCAGAGAUGGAUUGGUGCCUUCGGGAACUGUGAGACAGGUGCUGCAUGGCUGUCGUCAGCUCGUGUUGUGAAAUGUUGGGUUAAGUCCCGCAACGAGCGCAACCCUUAUCCUUUGUUGCCAGCGGUUAGGCCGGGAACUCAAAGGAGACUGCCAGUGAUAAACUGGAGGAAGGUGGGGAUGACGUCAAGUCAUCAUGGCCCUUACGACCAGGGCUACACACGUGCUACAAUGGCAUAUACAAAGAGAAGCGACCUCGCGAGAGCAAGCGGACCUCAUAAAGUAUGUCGUAGUCCGGAUUGGAGUCUGCAACUCGACUCCAUGAAGUCGGAAUCGCUAGUAAUCGUAGAUCAGAAUGCUACGGUGAAUACGUUCCCGGGCCUUGUACACACCGCCCGUCACACCAUGGGAGUGGGUUGCAAAAGAAGUAGGUAGCUUAACCUUCGGGAGGGCGCUUACCACUUUGUGAUUCAUGACUGGGGUG
rnacentral:rRNA from 1 species